rnacentral:rRNA from 1 species
UACGUAGGGGGCAAGCGUUGUCCGGAAUCAUUGGGCGUAAAGGGUGCGUAGGCGGGUUUUUAAGUCAGGGGUGAAAUCCUGGAGCUCAACUCCAGAACUGCCUUUGAUACUGAAGAUCUUGAGUCCGGGAGAGGUGAGUGGAACUGCGAGUGUAGAGGUGAAAUUCGUAGAUAUUUCGCAAGAACACCAGUGGCGAAGGCGGCUCACUGGCCCGAUACUGACGCUGAGGCACGAAAGCGUGGGGAGCAAACAGG